GACGUAGGAGGCGAGCGUUGUCCGGAUUCAUUGGGCGUAAAGAGCCCGCAGGCGGUUUGGCAAGUCGGCUGUGAAAACCCGAAGCUCAACUUCGGGCCUGCAGCCGAAACUGCCCGACUAGAGGUAGGUAGGGGAGAUCGGAAUUCCUGGUGUAGCGGUGAAAUGCGCAGAUAUCAGGAGGAACACCGGUGGCGAAGGCGGAUCUCUGGGCCGUACCUGACGCUCAGGUGCGAAAGCUAGGGGAGCGAACAGG
rnacentral:rRNA from 1 species